AACACAUCUCUGGGGAAAUCAGGGCUGGGAUCUGUAUCUCCUCUGGAAGGCUGAAGCCUCCACAGACUCUCCAGAUCUUAUUCUGUUGGACCUGGUCUACCUGCUUGUCUGCCCAGGCCCAAGUAGCCAUUUGUGCAGUGGUUGCCAGUUCUGCUCAGCUGGGUGCUGCUAGGACAUAGAAGGAGCUGGGGCUGGUUGCGCCAGAGGUGUGGUUCCUGUUUGCUGAGACCUAACCAAGGGCCUUACCUAAAGAUGACCUGGAGCCCAGUCAAGCCCUUGAGGUAUUGGUACCAAACUGCUGUGGAGAGGCAUGGGGCUUCCCACUUGAGGGGAACACCACAGUACUGAUACUCUGCCUUACUCCAGCUCUGUCAGUCUAGCUGUGAACUCUUUGCAGCUGCAUACUCCUCGAAUCACAGAGCCCCAAGCUCAAGUAUAUGACUUGUCAGGUCCCAUAACUCCUCAGUGAAGUUUUGAUUUUUCCAUGUGUUGAAAGAUAGCACAUCUCUUUCUAUUUCCUAGCAUGGCCAUAGAUGUAUCCUUCCUUCCACAAAGUGGUAUAGAGUGAUUUGCAUUCACUUUGUUAUGCUGUGUCUAAAUAUGUGUGUCUUGACUAUAU